AGCGAACGCUGGCGGCAGGCUUAACACAUGCCAGUCGAGCGGGCACUUCGGUGUCAGCGGCAGACGGGUGAGUAACACGUGGGAACGUACCCUUUGGUUCGGAAUAACGCUGGGAAACUAGCGCUAAUACCGGAUACGCCCUUUUGGGGAAAGGCUUGCUGCCGAAGGAUCGGCCCGCGUCUGAUUAGCUAGUUGGUGGGGUAAUGGCCUACCAAGGCGACGAUCAGUAGCUGGUCUGAGAGGAUGAUCAGCCACACUGGGACUGAGACACGGCCCAGACUCCUACGGGAGGCAGCAGUGGGGAAUAUUGGACAAUGGGCGCAAGCCUGAUCCAGCCAUGCCGCGUGAGUGAUGAAGGCCUUAGGGUUGUAAAGCUCUUUUGUCCGGGACGAUAAUGACGGUACCGGAAGAAUAAGCCCCGGCUAACUUCGU
rnacentral:rRNA from 1 species